CUCAGGGAGGUAGUGACAAGAAAUAACAACACUGGAAAUUUUAUUUCUAGUGAUUGGAAUGAUGGGAAUUUAAACCCCUUUCAGAGUAACAAUUGGAGGGCAAGUCUGGUGCCAGCAGCCGCGGUAAUUCCAGCUCCAAUAGCGUAUAUUAAAGUUGUUGCAGUUAAAAAGCUCGUAGUUGGAUGUCUGCUGGAAGCAAUCAGUCCGCCCUAUUUGUAGGGUGUGCACUUGAUGAAUUCUGGCAUCUAUGUCCUAAUGUGAUAGAUACGGCGGUGUAUAUGGGUUAAUCCUAUAUACCCGUUUUUGUAUAUUAUAUUGGGAUAAUACCGUUACUUUGAGAAAAUUAGAGUGUUUGAAGCAGGCUAAUUGCCUUGAAUACUGCAGCAUGGAAUAACAAUAUAGGAUUUCGGUUCUAUUUUGUUGGUUUCUAGGACUGAAAUAAUGAUUAAUAGGGACAGUUGGGGGCAUUCGUAUUUAACUGUCAGAGGUGAAAUACUUAGAUUUGUUAAAGACGAACUACUGCGAAAGCAUUUGCCAAAGAUGUUUUCAUUAAUCAAGAACGAAAGUUAGGGGCUCGAAGACGAUCAGAUACCGUCGUAGUCUUAACCAUAAACUAUGCCGACUAGAGAUAGGAAAAUGUCAUUUUUCUGACUU
rnacentral:rRNA from 1 species